UGGGGAAUCUUGCGCAAUGGGCGAAAGCCUGACGCAGCAAUGCCGCGUGAGGGAAGAAGGCCUUAGGGUCGUAAACCUCUUUCAGCGGGGACGAAACAAGACGGUACCCGCAGAAGAAGCCCCGGCUAACUACGUGCCAGCAGCCGCGGUAAUACGUAGGGGGCAAGCGUUGUCCGGAAUCAUUGGGCGUAAAGCGCGUGUAGGCGGACUGGAAGGUCUGGUGUGAAAGCCCGGGGCUCAACCCCGGAGGGUCACUGGAAACCGACAGUCUCGAGUCCGGAAGAGGAGAGUGGAAUUCCUGGUGUAGCGGUGGAAUGCGCAGAUAUCAGGAGGAACACCUAUGGCGAAGGCAGCUCUCUGGUACGUGACUGACGCUGAGACGCGAAAGCGUGGGGAGCGAACAG
rnacentral:rRNA from 1 species